UGUGUCUCCUGCUGGAUAAACUUUUUAAGCUCCUCUUGUUUGCUGGGUUCUCAUUCAGUGUCUGACAAGAUGGGAGCUGAGUCAGUUUUGGCCCUUUUCAUUCUGGCUGUUUGCUUCAGCAAUGCUUUAAGCUUGCCAGUUGCAAGACAAAGCCAGAAUGCUGAUGAUGAACUGCUGGUGAAAGACAAUGAAAUCCUUUCUUUAAGUGGCAGCCUUGGCCUUUUGCAGUCAAUGGAUUCCAGUUUGAAUAA